GCCAACCCAGGGACCCCAUGGGCUGGGUGUUCCCGGCUGAGCUCACUCCCAUGUUGUCAGCUUGGCCUCCCUUUUACAUGGUCCUCAUCUCAAGGAGGCUAGUUCAGGCUUCUAUUGGCCAUGAUCUCAGGAUCCAAGAGGGGGACAGCAGAAGCCGCAAAGUCUUUUGUGGCCCAGGCUUGCAAAUUCCACAGUGUCACAGUGUCACGUCUGCUACAUUUUAUUGAUCGGGACAAGUCAGAUGUCUGCUGGGGAAGGUUACUGAGAGACACAUGACGGCCAGCUGACUCUGCAGCUACACGGGGUCAAUUAGAGGUUCCUCAUCCCCCUCUUCCCUGUCCUUGAAAUGUGCUCUGCCCACCGUUCCCACACUGGGAGCUGUUUUCAAGGAUGCAGCCUCGAUCGAAUAAGGUGUUGUUGAGACCAUCUGGAAGGUGUAUAUGACUGAACCCAGUUGUUCUGGCCAGCUGCUGUUUUGGUGAUUUUGAAAUAAAAUUAAUGAUGUUGGAAGAAGGAUUUUCCAGUGCCUGCUCUGCUAAACGUAUGACCAUAAUAAAUUUUGCUGGCCAUCUGACUGAA